rnacentral:rRNA from 1 species
CAGCCGCCGCGGUAAUACGUAGGUGGCAAGCGUUGUCCGGAAUUAUUGGGCGUAAAGGGCUCGCAGGCGGUUUCUUAAGUCUGAUGUGAAAGCCCCCGGCUCAACCGGGGAGGGUCAUUGGAAACUGGGAGACUUGAGUGCAGAAGAGGAGAGUGGAAUUCCACGUGUAGCGGUGAAAUGCGUAGAGAUGUGGAGGAACACCAGUGGCGAAGGCGACUCUCUGGUCUGUAACUGACGCUGAGGAGCGAAAGCGUGGGGAGCGAACAGGAUUAGAUACCCCCGUAGUCCCUGUCUCUUAUAC